GGGUUGUGAGGUUAAGCGACUAAGCGUACACGGUGGAUGCCCUGGCAGUCAGAGGCGAUGAAGGACGUGCUAAUCUGCGAAAAGCGCCGGCGAGGUGAUAUGAACCUUUGACCCGGCGAUGUCCGAAUGGGGAAACCCAGUGUGAUUCGUCACACUAUCGUUAACUGAAUACAUAGGUUAACGAGGCGAACCGGGGGAACUGAAACAUCUAAGUACCCCGAGGAAAAGAAAUCAACCGAGAUUCCCCCAGUAGCGGCGAGCGAACGGGGAGCAGCCCAGAGUCUGAA
rnacentral:rRNA from 1 species